GCUGAGGUUCGGUCCCCGCCGGGGAGGUCUGGACGGGCAGGGGCUGAGGACCCUGCGCCAGCUUGGGAGCCCUGGAGUUCUGGCGGGAGGGAAGCUGUCAAAUGGAGGCCGGUAGAACUGAGACAGACGCCCGGAGAAGCGGGGAGCCCCGCCCCUCCGCCAUAGCAGCCUCGGGCGCCGCCUCUUCCUUUCCAGCCUCCCGCCCUCGCCUGCUUCCGGCCCUGUGGCCUGGUGGGGCUCUGCAGGCUCCCUCGGGAGUGGUCCUUGGGCCGUGGCCCCUCUGGGAGGCCUGAGGGAGCUCAAUCCUGGUAGCAACACCCCUGAAUUCCUGGUGGUGAGAGGAUGUGGCCCCAGGACCCAUCCCGGAAGGAGGUGCUGAGGUUUGCAGUCAGCUGCCGUAUCCUGACUCUGAUGCUGCAGGU
rnacentral:lncRNA from 1 species